GAUGAACGCUAGCGGCAGGCUUAAUACAUGCAAGUCGAGGGGCAGCAUGAGUGUAGCAAUACAUUUGAUGGCGACCGGCAAACGGGUGCGGAACACGUACACAACCUUCCUUUAAGCGGGGAAUAGCCCGGGGAAACCCGGAUUAAUACCCCAUAGUAUGGUGAAGAGGCAUCUCUUUAUUAUUAAAGAUUUAUCACUUAAAGAUGGGUGUGCGGCUGAUUAGGUAGUUGGCGGGGUAACGGCCCACCAAGCCUACGAUCAGUAACUGGUGUGAGAGCACGACCAGUCACACGGGCACUGAGACACGGGCCCGACCCCUACGGGAGGCAGCAGUAAGGAAUAUAGGUCAAUGGACGAAAGUCUGAACCAGCCAUGCCGCGUGGAGGAUGAAGGUCCUCUGGAUUGUAAACUUCUUUUAUAUGGGACGAAAAAAGGCCUUUCCAGGUCGUCUGACGGUACCAUAUGAAUAAGCACCGGCUAACUCCGUGCCAGCCGCCGCAGUAAAAC
rnacentral:rRNA from 1 species